GGCUUGUGGCUCAGUGGUAGAGCACUUACCUAGCAUGUGCAAGGCACUGAGUUCGAUUCUCAGCACCA
rnacentral:tRNA from 1 species